rnacentral:tRNA from 1 species
GGUCCUUUAGCUCAGUUGGUUAGAGCAUCCGGCUCAUAACCGGACGGUCCUGGGUUCGAGUCCCAGAGGGACCA